CCCAAAAAUAAGACUAUAAACCUAAACUCUAUACCUUAAACCCAAUAUCUAGACCCUAAACCCAAAUCGUAAACCUUAAACCCAAAUUAUAUACCCUAAACCCAAAACUUUAACCAUAAAUCCAAACGGUAAAUCCUAAAUCCAAACCGUAAAUCCUAAACUCAAAGCCUAUACCCUAAACCCAAAUCUUAGACCCAAAACCCAAACCGUAAAUUCUAAACUCAAAACCUAUACCCUAAACCCAAAUCUUAGACCCAAAACCCAAACGGUAAACCUUAAGCCCUAACCCAAAACUUAGAUGCUAUAGGGUUUGGGUUAAGGUUUACGGUUUGGGUUUAGGGUGUAAGACUUGGGUUUAGAGUAUAGGGUUUAAGUUUAUAGUAUAUUUUUUAGGUUUAAGGUAUAUAAUUUGGGUUUAGGGUCUAGGAUUAGGGUUUAGGGUAUAGGGUUUGGGUUUAGGGGUUUGGAUUUGGGUUUAGAAUUUAGGGUAUAGGGUUUAGAAUUUAAGAUUUAGGGUUUAGGGUUUCGCUAGCGGCGUUAGCGUCGUUAAAAUUAAAAUUUUUAUUUUUUUUAGAUAUUUUUUAUUUAAUUUAAUAUUUUUUAAUUAAUAAUCUAUGUGUUAUUUUGAUUGGUCUUAAGGGUGAAGUAAAUUUAAAGUUCCACCCUAGGGGUAAACCUAAGUUUUGUUCAGAAUUAGAAACACAUAUACAACACAUUAGACUGACCGAUUGUACGGGCAUUCGUGUGUAAGGAAAUUAUUUCUGAAAUAGAGAAGGAAGUUUGAAUUCAAUAUUUAGUGAAUUGAUUAACGACUAAUCAAAUUAAUUCGCGGUUUAGAUAACAGAUUCUAUUUACGGAUGGAUUGAAGAGAAGUAAGCAAAGGUGGCUCUUAGCCGUAACACGUGACUAAAAUUUUAUAAGCAGAUAAGGAGACCAACAUAAUAAAUAAAUAAGCGUGGGGAAUAAGGAAACCACGGCAACCUUUUAUUUUCUUUGAUUUUAUGUGAAAGACCAGAGCAAUUUGUAGUAUUUGACUCUCACCAAUACCAUGUGUUAAUUUGAUAAAAUAAAGAAAACAAGUUGAUAUCCCAAAAGUGGUAAAAAAAAAAACAAAAAUGAUCAAUUUACGUAUUGACAAAUGCUACUAUUCUGCAAGCCGUGUGUUUCAAGUGACUUUCGUAAUGAUAAUUGAUAAAUAAAUGUUCUAUAACUAUAUGCUUAAAAACCAUAUUUAGAAGAAAAAAAAAACUAUUUGCUUAAAAACCAUUUUGUAAUCGUAAUAUUCGAUACGCUUUCCGCAAACUCCCGUGAUUUAUGAGAUUUAAAUAUCUUUUUAUAGAUAAAGAAGGUUUUUUUCUCUCCAAACGUGUCCACAUAGGAUGACACGUCACUAAUUCGAGCGACGUCGAACCGACACGUGUCAUCAUAAUCGAUCAUUCGCAUUUCAUUAAAUCCUCUAGCAAUUCGUUUGGGCUUUUCUAAUAAUUGGGCUUCAUGUUAGUUCGUUUAAGGCUUUUGUUAUAUCUAGGCUUUUAUCAUCUCCACCAAGAUGCAGCACUGCGUUACCAUUUUGUGUUAAACCCGCGUUCUUCUUUUUCUCCUCUCCAGACUCCAUUGCGAUUACUUUCAUCUUCUUCCUUAGAGUACGAAAGCAUACCAGUUACCGAAUAAUCCUCUUAAAACCCUCCAUUAAUCUAUCACACACGAUCUAUAUUCAAUGCAAGUUCUGACUCUGCAAGGCGGUGAAAGUUCACUUAUAAAAAGAUUUGCAGACGGGCCGUUCCUCCUCCACUUUUCAAGUCCGGUUGAUCUAUUUCUGGGAGGCCAGGAAUGUCCACCGUGGUGGAGAGCUCAUGGGAGUGGAUAUGCUACUACUGGAUUCUCAUGUAUCUUAUUUAAAUCUGCCUUUUGUUCAUAAACAGAAUUAUGAAAAGGUCAGCCUUCACCCUUGAACAUCAUCCUCCCAAUUCGUAGUAGCACCAAAAAUCUUAAUUAGUCUGAAGCUGUUCUGAAACUGGUCUCAAAACUGAUAGUAAUCUGUCUUUGUCUGUCUAUCUACUAUCGUUUGUUGCCGUCAAUGUCUCAUCUCAUAUAAGAGGCACCCAUCUGGACCUUGGUGUUAUUACAAAGAUGAACUUUUUGAUAUUUUUGUGGAAUUGUUUAGACAUAAUCAUCGAUGCACCUGAUCAUACCUUGGUAUUUCUGUAUCCAAGACACUUGAAUCCACUCUGGUUAAUGUUUCAUAUGAAUCUUUGUGUCUGCUCAUUAAUUUAAUUCGAGUUUUUUUUUCUGAAGCCAGCUUCCCGGUGUGUCAACCUGCAUUGUUAUGAACCUUUAAGCAAAAUGACCAUAUACCUCUAACUAUCCGAUCUCCCUUGAAGCGUAGAAUCUCUUUAAAGAAAAUUGAGACUUUGUGAAGGGUUGUAUAUGAUUUCCCAACCUUUGUAUUGUUUUAGGUGUCAGUAGUUUAAGUUGUGUUCUGAAGUAGUUGUGUUUCUUCUUAGCUGGAUCGUGUACCGAUGAUAUGACAUGUUUGAUAUUCUUUUAUUAUGCAUUUUGUUUUUUUGGGUUUUAUCUCAGCAACCAUGAAAGGUUGCUUAAUUUUUUUUUCUUUUUCUUUGGUCUGAAUGAUUUUUUUUUUUAAAAUACACCAAUCACGAGCCGCCACUUGUUGGUGGGUCCCGCGAAUAUUAUAAGCAACAAAGAAAACUCAGUGCUUAUUUUGCAUGCGGAAUGGACGAUGCUUGUGUUUUUGGUAGGGUCCCAGGCCAUAAGCAACUCUUUUGAUAGAGCGAUAAAGAUGCUCGUAGACUCUUUAAUUUUUUGGUAAACUGGUUUGCUACAUUCAUUCUUGGAUAGUUAGUUCUCUUCCACUAUAAAUUUAACACCUGUGUAUAGACUAUAAUAUAAAGAUGUAUCAUAAUGUUAGAAUAUUACGAAGAAGCUCAGCUUUUGUGUAUAAUUUAUAGCGUUGAUUCUAAGGUUGCAUAUAAGAUUCCAUUAUAAUAAGAUUAUGUAACGAUGUUUACCUAAGCUGAAUAAAAAUUCUUAAAGCCCGUUCAUGCUGAUUCUCAUGCACUUGAUAUAUAAUUUCGGCACUUGAGUUUGAUUAAUCCGGCGACCGUCUUGCCUUCGACGCAUACGCAAAACUUACAAAUGUGAGUGCCGCAACUGUAAUCAACUCAUGUGCAGGGGCCUGGUGUGGGAGACCUUGAUAAGAACGACAUACACAAAUUCCUUAAAGACGUUGUCGGCCAAACAUGCACUCAAGAAGACACGCAAGGCUAGCUGCUCAAUUUGUCAAAAUAAUGACCUUAUUAAAUUCUUUGUCCUUGCUUUAUCUAUCAUGUUUUCCAACUUUCAAGCAAUUAAAUAGUUCUUGCGGUAACUACACCCACAUGUUGAAUAACUUACCGCAAAGUUUAUAUAAUGUUACAAAAGUAGAUCGUUUGUUGGUUAAGGCAAACAAAUUUUAAUAAUCCUAUCAACUCCUUUCGGCAA